rnacentral:rRNA from 1 species
CGGGGGGAGCAAGCGUUGUUCGGAUUUACUGGGCGUAAAGGGCGCGUAGGCGGUCAGCACAAGUCAGUUGUGAAAUCUCCGAGCUUAACUCGGAAAGGUCAACUGAUACUGUGCGACUAGAGUGCAGAAGGGGCAACUGGAAUUCUCGGUGUAGCGGUGAAAUGCGUGGAUAUCGAGAGGAACACCUGCGGCGAAGGCGGGUUGCUGGGCUGACACUGACGCUGAGGCGCGAAAGCUAGGGGAGCGAACGGGAUUAGAUACCCCGGUAGUCCUAGCCUUAAACGAUGAAUGCUUGGUGUCUGGGGUUAUAUAGUCCCCGGGUGCCGUCGCUAACGCUUUAAGCAUUCCGCCUGGGGAGUACGGUCGCAAGACUG